ACUCAAAUGAAUUGACGGGGGCCCGCACAAGCGGAGGAGCAUGUGGUUUAAUUCGAUGAUACGCGAGGAACCUUACCUGGGCUUGAAAGUUAGUGACGUUCGCUGAAAGGUGAAUUCUCUUCGGAGCACAAAACUAGGUGCUGCAUGGCUGUCGUCAGCUCGUGCCGUGAGGUGUUGGGUUAAGUCCCCUAACGAGCGCAACCCCUAUUAUUAGUUGCCAGCGGGUAAUGCCGGGGACUCUAAUAAGACUGCCCGCGUAAGCGUGGAGGAAGGUGGGGAUGACGUCAAGUCAUCACGGCCCUUACGUCCAGGGCUACACACGUGCUACAAUGGCCGGCACAAUGGGCAGCUACAUGGUGACAUGAUGCUAAUCUCCAAAGCCGGUCUCAGUUCGGAUUGAAGUCUGCAACUCGACUUCAUGAAGUUGGAUUCGCUAGUAAUCGGAUAUCAGCAAUGAUCCGGUGAAUACGUUCCCGGGCCUUGUACACACCGCCCGU
rnacentral:rRNA from 1 species